UACGAAGGGUGCAAGCGUUACUCGGAAUUACUGGGCGUAAAGCGUGCGUAGGCGGUUUGUUAAGUCUGAUGUGAAAGCCCUGGGCUCAACCUGGGAAUGGCGAUGGAUACUGGCGAGCUAGAGUGUGAUAGAGGAUGGCGGAAUUCCCGGUGUAGCGGUGAAAUGCGUAGAGAUCGGGAGGAACAUCUGUGGCGAAGGCGGCCAUCUGGAUCAACACUGACGCUGAGGCACGAAAGCGUGGGGAGCAAACAGG
rnacentral:rRNA from 1 species